rnacentral:lncRNA from 1 species
UACAAACCCUGGUUGUAAUAUGAUGAUAUAAAUUUUAUAUGUAUGAUAUCUUUUUUUUGUCAAUUCAGGAUAUGCUGCAGCUUGCCAAGAACUAUAAUAAGGUAGAGAAUUAUUUGAAACCACACUGCGUUGUUAAUUCUUUUUUAUUCUGCAUACUAUAUUUCGCUAAAACAUGUUACAAACAUUUCCAGGCGUUAGAAGAUGAGGAUAAAAUGACUCCGGAACAGCUCGCUAUAAAAAACGUUGGAAAACAGGUGACAUUACAAUGGAUUAUGUUUGCUUUUAAUUAAUUUUGUGAUAUUUUUAAUUAACAUUUUCCUGUUCGAGUCUUACCACUGAUGCCAUUACCACUUUGGUGUGAAAAUUUCAAUGUCUGUUCCAUUUUUGUAGGAUCCGAAACGACACUUGGAAGAGUCGGUAGAUUCGCUGAUGACGUCGAAUAUAGUGCAAUGUCUGGGCGCCAUGUUAGACUCAGUAACCUUUUGAGAUGUAAUCUUAUGAAUUGUAAACUUUUAAUAUUUAGUAAAUUUUGUUUCUCUGUGAACACCUUCAGCUCUUCUGAUAUUGUUAUGUUACUGUACUGGGACCAGUCAAAGCUGAGUUAGCACUAAACCUUCGCCGACAAGAUGUUUUUUCAAUCAAGGGGGGGGGGCACCCCCUCUCCACCAAAGCGACGGCUCUGACUGCAAUACGUACAAUUAUGAUUCCUUCACCUCGGGAUUCUUUUAUUUGAAUAUGUUAUUCAGUUAAUACUACAUUACACUUGUUUUCAUAGUCUAUUAGUCUAAUUUUAUACACAGCUACAACAACACACUAGGUCAUUUACAAUAGGAAGGUUUGACUAAGCACUAUCGUGCAGCCGAUGGUGGUCAACCUGUAUAGUUAUCAGAGUGAGAAAAUACUGUUCAUUCCUUUCAUUAUAUGUCGUAGUCUUGUAUUUGGUGGUAAAUAAAUAGGAUCAUAGUUAAGAGAGAUGGAGUUUAAUUUUCCUGUUCCUAUAAAUGUCAAGAUUUCUGAAGUUGACUACAAUCUAUUGCCCUGUAAAGGCCAAUUUCCACUCAGGAAAAUUUUCCACAGAAACUGUCGGAAAGAAAAGUUUGUAAAAUGUGAUUGGUCAACACAAAUUUCCCGUCGUGAAAAAUUUUGAAGUUGAAAAUUUUCAACUUUUAA